UAAUUUGUAUGAAUAGUUUAAUACUGAAAAAAUAAAAUGUAUAAACUUCCAAUUUUAAAAAAGUUCUUUAUUAGGCUGGAAACUGUGUUUUUGUUACAUGCAUUGGCAGUAUUUCUGUGUCACAGAUUAUUGUUUUCUACAAGAUAUCCCUAAAUCAUCUGGAAAAACAAGCAUUCCCACUGACCAAGUCUUUUGCGCCCAGUGUUCUUCAGUUAUUAAAGUUAUGAUUAAAUUUUCAUAAUCCUCAUUUAUUCACUCAGCAGACAUUUAUUGACCUCAUCUAUGAGUUAGACAUGGUCAAAAUGACUUUUGAACUGUACCUAUGAGAAGGAGUCAGCCGUGGGCAGAUCAGGGGGGAGAGAGUUCCAACACAGAACACAAAGUUCCUCAAGAGGAAAGAAACCUAAUGCACUCAAGGAACAGAGAAAGCCUUGUUGAAGCAUGCUGAAGAAGAGCUGUGAAAAUCAGAAGUCUGAAAUAGAUUUCACUGGGCUGAAAUCAAGACAUCAACUGGGCUGUGUUAAUUCUGGGGUAUCUAGGUGCCUGAAAUAUGAAGAGUGGAAAACAUGCUCAGAAAGGGGAAAUUUGGAUUCAGACAUGCACACAGGAGAACACCAUAUGAAGAUGCUGGCAGAGAUCAGGGUGAUGCUUCCAUAAGCUAAGGAGCACCAAAGACUGCAAGCAAGUCACCAGAAGACAUUUGGAGGCAUGGAACAGAUUCUUUCUUAUAGUCCUCAGAAAGAAGCAAUCCUAUUGACACGUUGGUUUUGGUCUGGAAUCCAGAACUGUAAAACAAAAAAUUUCUGUUCUUUAAAAAAUAAAUUUC